rnacentral:rRNA from 1 species
AUGGAGGCGAAGCUUGCCGAGGAGGCCGGCAGCGCUGGUGGUGUGGAGGACAAGGCCGCGGCGGAGGCAGAGGAGAAGGAGCUCGCCCAAUGGGCAGAGGCCGUUGGGGAGGCCAGUAGCGCCGGCACCGGGGCUCCCCUCGUUGAAGAUGUGGUUGACGAGUCGUCGCAGGAGGAGGUCGAGGCUGUCGGCCUGACACCUACCAUGGGGAGAGGGCCAGUCCUGCGGCGGGCCAGCUCCGGCGAGCUGGUCCGGCCCGGCAGGGCUGUGCGGCCGCAGCUGACCCCGGAGCCCAGAGGAGUGCGGGCGCCACGCAAGGGCCGCGGCGGCAAAGAAGCUGGUGAAGGCCGCGGUGAAGAAGAAGACAACUGCCCCUUCUUCGUCCAAGCGUGUCCAAACCCCGCCUUCUUCCACUCCUCCGGCAGAUGUCGACGCGGAGGUUUUUUUUGA